rnacentral:rRNA from 1 species
UUGAAGGUUGGGUAACACUAACUGGAGGACCGAACCCACUGUCGUUGAAAAGCCAGGGGAUGACUUGUGGAUAGGGGUGAAAGGCUAAUCAAGCCUGGUGAUAGCUGGUUCUCCCCGAAAGCUAUUUAGGUAGCGCCUCGGACGAAUACCAUAGGGGGUAGAGCACUGUUUCGGCUAGGGGGUCAUCCCGACUUACCAAACCGAUGCAAACUCCGAAUACCUAUGAGUACUAUCCGGGAGACAGACUGCGGGUGCUAACGUCCGUAGUCAAGAGGAAAACAAUCCAGACCGCCAGCUAAGGCCCCAAAAUCAUAGUUAAGUGGGAAACGAUGUGGGAAGGCAUAGACAGCUAGGAGGUUGGCUUAGAAGCAGCCACCCUUUAAAGAAAGCGUAAUAGCUCACUAGUCGAGUCGGCCUGCGCGGAAGAUGUAACGGGGCUAAAACUAUGUGCCGAAGCUGCGGAUGUAUACUUUGUAUACGUGGUAGGGGAGCGUUCUGUAAGCCGAUGAAGGUGUGUUGAGAAGCAUGCUGGAGGUAUCAGAAGUGCGAAUGCUGACGUGAGUAACGACAAAACGGGUGAAAAACCCGUUCGCCGAAAGACCAAGGGUUCCAGUCCAACGUUAAUCGGGGCUGGGUGAGUCGACCCCUAAGGCGAGGCCGAAAGGCGUAGUCGAUGGGAAAAUGGUUAAUAUUCCAUUACUUCUGUGUAAUGCGAUGAGAGGACGGAGAAGGCUAAAUCAGCCUGGCGUUGGUUGUCCAGGUGAAAGGAUGUAGGCAUGUAUCUUAGGCAAAUCCGGGGUACUCUAUGCUGAGAUCUGAUAGCAAGCUGUACUUGUACAGCGAAGUGGUUGAUGCCAUGCUUCCAGGAAAAGUCUCUAAGCUUCAGUUACACAGGAAUCGUACCCGAAACCGACACAGGUGGUCAGGUCGAGUAGACCAAGGCGCUUGAGAGAACUCUGCUGAAGGAACUAGGCAAAAUGGUACCGUAACUUCGGGAGAAGGUACGCUGUUGUUGGUGAUGGAACUCGCUUCCUGAGCUGACGACAGCCGCAGAAACCAGGCCGCUGCAACUGUUUAUUAAAAACAUAGCACUCUGCAAACACGAAAGUGGACGUAUAGGGUGUGAUGCCUGCCCGGUGCUGGAAGGUUAAUUGAUGGGGUUAGCGUAAGCGAAGCUCUUGAUCGAAGCCCCAGUAAACGGCGGCCGUAACUAUAACGGUCCUAAGGUAGCGAAAUUCCUUGUCGGGUAAGUUCCGACCUGCACGAAUGGCAUAAUGAUGGCGGCGCUGUCUCCAGCAGAGGCUCAGUGAAAUCGAAAUCGCUGUGAAGAUGCAGUGUACCCGCGGCUAGACGGAAAGACCCCGUGAACCUUUACUGCAGCUUGACACUGAACUUUGACCUUACUUGUGUAGGAUAGGUGGGAGGCUUUGAAGCUGGAACGCUAGUUCCAGUGGAGCCGUCCUUGAAAUACCACCCUGGUAAUGUUGAGGUUCUAACUCUGUCCCGUGAUCCGGGACGAGGACCGUGUCUGGUGGGUAGUUUGACUGGGGCGGUCUCCUCCUAAAGAGUAACGGAGGAGUACGAAGGUGCGCUCAGCGUGGUCGGAAAUCACGCGUAGAGUAUAAAGGCAAAAGCGCGCUUAACUGCGAGACCCACAAGUCGAGCAGGUACGAAAGUAGGUCUUAGUGAUCCGGUGGUUCUGUAUGGAAGGGCCAUCGCUCAACGGAUAAAAGGUACUCUGGGGAUAACAGGCUGAUACCGCCCAAGAGUUCAUAUCGACGGCGGUGUUUGGCACCUCGAU